rnacentral:rRNA from 1 species
GAACGGAGCGCCGGACACGGACUAUUUCGGUAGGAAGCGUGCGGAGGCUUAGUGGCGGACGGGUGAGUAACGCGUGGAUAACCUGCCGCAUACCGGGGGAUAACAGCUGGAAACAGCUGCUAAUACCGCAUAUGCCCGCAGUGCCGCAUGGCACAGCGGGGAAAACUCCGGUGGUAUGCGAUGGGUCCGCGUCUGAUUAGGCAGUUGGCGGGGUAACGGCCCACCAAACCGACGAUCAGUAGCCGGCCUGAGAGGGCGGACGGCCACACUGGGACUGAGACACGGCCCAGACUCCUGCGGGAGGCAGCAGUGGGGAAUAUUGCACAAUGGGGGAAACCCUGAUGCAGCGACGCCGCGUGAAGGAAGAAGUAUCUCGGUAUGUAAACUUCUAUCAGCAGGGAAGAAAACAGACGGUACCUGACUAAGAAGCCCCGGCUAACUACGUGCCAGCAGCCGCGGUAAUACGUAGGGGGCAAGCGUUAUCCGGAUUUACUGGGUGUAAAGGGGGUGCAGACGGCCAUGGCAAGCCCGGUGUGAAAGGCAGGGGCAUAACCCCUGGACUGCACUCCGAACUGUCAGGCUGGAGUGCCGGAGGGGUAAGCGGAAUUCCUGGUGUAGCGGUGAAAUGCGUAGAUCUCUGGAGGAGCCCCGGCGGCGGGNGCGGCUUNCUGGNCGGCCNCUGNCGUUGNGGCCCGAAAGCGUGGGGGGCCUUCUAGGGNNNNNNNNNNNNNNNNNCNNNCNNNNNNCGACCUUUAAAGGGUGUCGGAUAUCAAGGAUAUCCGGUGCCGAAGCAAACGCAUUAAGUAUACCACCUGGGGAGUACGUUCGCAAGAAUGAAACUCAAAGGAAUUGACGGGGACCCGCACAAGCGGUGGAGCAUGUGGUUUAAUUCGAAGCAACGCGAAGAACCUUACCAGGCCUUGACAUCCUGAUGGCGUAGGCGUAACGGCUUAUUCCCCUCGGGGCAUCAGAGACAGGUGGUGCAUGGUUGUCGUCAGCUUGUGUCGUGAGAUGUUGGGUUAAGUCCCGCAACGAGCGCAACCCUUACCCACAGUAGCCAGCACAAAAGGUGGGCACUCUGUGGGGACUGCCGGGGACAACCCGGAGGAAGGUGGGGAUGACGUCAAAUCAUCAUGCCCCUUAUGGCCGGGGCUACACACGUGCUACAAUGGCGUAAACAAAGGGAAGCGAGAGAGUGAUCUUAAGCGAAACUCAAAAAUAACGUCCCAGUUCGGAUUGCAGUCUGCAACUCGACUGCAUGAAGCUGGAAUCGCUAGUAAUCGC